rnacentral:rRNA from 1 species
GCUAACUCCGUGCCAGCAGCCGCGGUAAUACGGAGGGUGCAAGCGUUAUCCGGAAUCACUGGGCGUAAAGGGCGCGUAGGUGGUCUGUUAAGUCUGGCGUUAAAGCCUGGGGCUCAACCCCAGAUCAGCGUUGGAUACUGGCAGGCUAGACGGUUGGAGAGGCGAGUGGAAUUACCAGUGUAGCGGUGGAAUGCGUAGAUACUGGUAGGAACACCCAUUGCGAAGGCAGCUCGCUGGACAACACGUGACACUGAGGCGCGAAAGUGUGGGGAGCAAACCGGAUUAGAUACCCCUGUAGUC